rnacentral:rRNA from 1 species
AGUUGUAAUUUGUAGAGGAUGCUUUUGGCGCGGUGCCUUCCGAGUUCCCUGGAACGGGACGCCUUAGAGGGUGAGAGCCCCGUACGGUUGGACACCAAGCCUCUGUAAAGCUCCUUCGACGAGUCGAGUAGCUUGGGAAUGCUGCUCUAAAUGGGAGGUAAAUUUCUUCUAAAGCUAAAUAUUGGCCAGAGACCGAUAGCGCACAAGUAGAGUGAUCGAAAGAUGAAAAGCACUUUGAAAAGAGGGUUAAACAGCACGUGAAAUUGUUGAAAGGGAAGCGUUUGCGACCAGACCUUUUCCUAGCGGAUCAUCCGGUGUUCUCACCGGUGCACUUCGCUAGGUUUAGGCCAGCAUCGGUUUCUGUAGGGGGAUAAAAGCUCUGGGAACGUAGCUCCUCCGGGAGUGUUAUAGCCCUCUGCAUAAUACCCUUACGGGGACCGAGGACCGCGCUUCGGCAAGGAUGCUGGCGUAAUGGUCGUCAACGACCCGUCUUGAAAA